AGUCUCUGCGGAUGACGAGGGGAGACAUAGAGGAAUGCAUUUGAGAGCCGUUCCGCCUGCUUGUGCAACCCCCCCCCCCAUUUAAUCCGCUUUCGGAUUAGGCCUGGUGGAAUGUAAAACCUUUGCCCUGAAAACCCAAGCAGGGCGGUGGGUGGGAGGGAGGAUGCUGUUGCUCAAAAAGAACAGCUUCAAUCUCAGCCCCAGAAGGUAGGGCCUGCUAGAUGGAUCCCCUUCCUGCUGCAAGUUAAAAAAUCGAGGUACAUGCCGCCAGCAACCGUAGAGGGAGGCGCUAGCGGAUUCCUGGGAGGAUUAUUUUGUUGCUGCGGCGGGCUGCCGGAUUGCAGCUUUGCAGGAGAAAAAAAAAACAAAAACGGGUGGAGUGGGGGUGUUCAUCUCAAACUGUAUUGCUGCAGGAUCCCAUAUGCCUAGGAACAAAGUUUAUGGUUGAUUUCUCACUGCCAAAGGACCCUGGGGCACGGGGCCCAGGAGUGAUGAUAGGGCGGAGAGAAAUCGUCAAAGGCCCUUUUAGGAAGGGUGAUAGAUUCUUGCUCCUGCCUCUCGGGCAGGGUUUGCUAGGAGCUCUGCCCGCCUCCUCCACUCCCACCCCCAACCCCCACCGGGUGUUUGCAGAAGGGAUGCAGAAGACGCCGGGUUUCUCCCAGAUGCACCCGAUUACCUCCAAGUCAGAAUGCGCUUAAAGGUUUCCAUUCCCCUGCAUCAUUGAAGAUGGCUUCCUACCUGCCCACCAGCUGGUGGACAUCUCUGCUUGGCAAACUUCCUGCUACCCCAGUGGGCUGCAAUCUUACCUUCUCCAAGGAGAUCAGGACUCUGGUCUUGAGGAAGGAGCUCCCUUUCCAAAUUGUCCUUCCAGUGACACCCUCCUUUGGCCACGGGAAACCUUAAACUCUACAGGUCUUGCUGUUCAGGAAUUCCAUGCAGUUCAGGCUGGUCUUGAACUUGCAGUGAUCCUCCCAUCUCCUGCCAAGUGCUGGGACCACAACUAUGUGCUACUGUACCUAGCCUCUCCCAAUUCUUGAGACUAAAACUUUAAGAAGAACCAAGAGGAAACCAAGAGGAAAAAGGAAGAAACCAAUUUGCCCUUCCUUUGAGCCAGCGCAAGUCAUGUGAGGGAGAAAUAAGCCAAUUUGCCCUUCCUGUGAGUCAACAGGAGCCAUGAUAAGCCUGGGGGGAGUAACAAGCCAAUUCACCCUUCCCCUGAGCCAAGUGACAUGCAGGCUGGGAGACAAGUAACCCUCCCACACUCCCCAUAAGCAACCAGAUAAUUCAGAAGACAGGCUGAGUUUUUUUGUUUUUUGUCUUUUUCAGUACCAGGGAUCGAACUCACCACUCCUGCUUACAAGGCAGGCGCUUAUGCCGCUGAGCUAAAUCCAGGCUGAGUUGAUAGCAACUAAGAUACAAAACAACUUAAUGCUUGUAUUGUUUGACUUUGCAGUCUAAGGCUAGUAGUCUGAGCAUCUAUUUAAAGGAUAAUAAUAGGCAACAUAGCAACUAUGGGGGAUUUUCUUCUGUCUUUGUUUUGAAAUUCAAUGUUGUUCUGUUUUGUUCCAUUUUAUUGUUUUGUUUUAUUUUGAUUGGUUUGUUUGUUUGAUUUUACUGCAUCUGAUGGUAUGAGCAGCAAUUCUGAAGACAGUGAGAGGCAUUAUGGUAUCCAUUAUCGAUUUCCUAUUAUCCUGUUUUGAAAUCCUGUAUCACUUUCACUGGUUUUUUAAAUUGGCUUUUUUCUGUUUUAUUUUGUUUCAUUUUAUUCUCUUUAAAAUACACUUUCAUCCUUUUGCUUGGUUUUAUUCUGUUUUGUUUUGUUUGAUUUUAUUAUGUCUGAUGAUAUGGACAGUUAUUUUGUAGAAAACAAGAGACAUUAUAGUAGCCACUUUGAUUUCCUAUUACCUUGUUUUGAAGUCCUAUGUUGCUUUGAUUGUUCUGUUCUGAUUAGCUGCAUUCUGUUUUGUUUGGUUUGUUUUUAUUCUCUUUAAAUUUAAAAAAAAGAGAAAAGGGAAAUACUAAUAGAAAAUAUUUUAUUCCAUGCUUUAAUUAAAUAAUGUAUGUUCACCAAAGUAGGAAAUCAGAAAAUACAGGCAGAAAAAAGAAGAGGAAACCUCUCCUGAAAAAAAUAAUCACCCAAAGAUCACAUCUUGGAACCGGGUGUGGUGGCUCACACCUGUAAUCCCAGCACUCAGGAGGCUGAGGCAGGAGGAUUGUUGUGAGUUCGAGACCAGCCUGGGCUACAAAGUGAGCUCAAGGCCAGCCUGAACUGCAUAGCGAGACCCCAUCUCAAAAAAAAAAAAAAGCUCACGUCAUGGUGUGUCAGUGGCAGGGAAUUAACAGCUGUAUGAGGCCAGGUCUUUGUUUCUGCUCAUGACUAGGGCUCCAAAUAUAGUGGCCUUCCCACUGAAUCCAUGCCUGAGAAGAGAUGGGAACUAAGUAAAGCUGCUUUGCCUGCCAUAUGGACCAUGAAACUAUUCUUAUCAAAAUAUUUUAGCUAUAAAGCUGCUUUGAUGAGUCUCCUGAAUUAAGUAUGUUCAGCUGACUUGUGAGUCUGAGAAGGUCCCACGAGGCAGGAGAUGCCAAGCCUACACUGAACCAUGGAGUCAGCAAGGGACCUAGAAAGAACCUUACCAUGAAUCAGGACUGCUGGCACAGGAUGCCACAGACUGGGUGGCUUGACAGAAGUGUAUUUUCUUACAGUUCCUUGAGGCUGGAAAUCCAAGAUGAUGUCAGCAUGUUUGAUUUCUCUCUCCUGGGCUUGCAGAUGUCACUUCUCACUGUGUCCCACAAGGUUGUUGCUCCAUCUGUGUUUUUGGUGUGCUAAUCUCCUCAGCAGGACACCAGUCAGUGAAAUGCCAGCCACUGGGAUUAGCAUGGAGGCUAUCAUGGAGGAGUCAAUUAUAAAGCGAUCUCCUGAGUUCUGGGAGGGCCAGAGACUGCCGAGAGGCUGUCUAGUCAGAGGCCACACUGUCCUAUGUCUGUGUCUCUUCUGGUGCCAUUUGCAGCAAGAUUGUUCCGUGCUACUUUCCCUGUCAAGACUCCUGUCAGAAUUUGGCUCAGAUGUCACCUCUUCCGUGAAGCUUUCCUCAACUGACUUCUCAGUCUGGGCUGGGCACCUUUCGUACACAUAGCCCCAGGGUGGAGCUACAGUAUAAAAAUUUUAAUGUUUUAUUACAGAGAACCUCAAACAUAGGAUAAAUGAUCUGAUAACCCCUCACAACACUGAACUUGCUGAACUGUGUUCACUUACUCACAAGUUCAUUCACAGUGACCCCAGGAGGGGAAGAUCUGUAAUUUGUUUGUGACAGGGUCUUGGUAUGUAGCCCAGACAGGCCUUGAACUCACAAUGAUCCUGCUGCCUCAGCUUUCCAGAGGGCUGGGAUUACAAGUGUGUGAUACUAUGUGUGGUGAGGACCUGUAUUUUAUAAUAUUUUGUUCCCGAAACACUAUUUUGCUUAAAUGGUUAUGUUUUGAUCUGCGCUGUUUUGCUGUUAUGCCCUCUUUUAUCUCAAUCUCCAUUUUAUCAUUUUUUAAAUUUUUAUCCUUUAAAUUAAGGGAAAAAUAAAAAAAAUAGCAGGAUAUAUUAUAGUAACUCACUUUGAUUUACUGUUAACUUGAUUUGAAGCCCUGUAUUGCUCUCACCAUCUUGUUUUGACUGAUGUUCCUCUAUUCUGUUUUGCUUGAUAGUAACAGGUUCAAAAGUUUAGGCAACAGCUGUGAAGAUAGUGGGAUUCAUUAUGACGCCCAUUCUGGUUGACUAUUAUCUACUUUUGAAGAUCUGUAAUGUCUCCAAUGUUUUGGUUUUGUUGGUUUCAUUCUUUACUGUUUUGUUCAAUUUUAUUAUAACUGAUGAUAUAGGCAUCUCUAUUAGAGAUAGCAAGAGGCAUUAUGGUAACCAUUGUUGAUCACCUUGUAUUAUGUUUUUACAUUAUUUAUUAUGUCCACUCUUUUGAUUUGACCGACUCUGUUCUGUUAUGUCACAUUUGGUUUUACUUUCUUCCAAAAAAAGUAAUAAGAACUGUGGGAGCAAUAAAACCCAAAAUGUGUAAUAGUCAUUGUACAAAAGAGAGGAAAAGAGAGUACUCUAAACAAUAUAACUGCAUGUUUAUUUAAAUGUAUAAGAUAGACAAUGAUAUUACUGAGUUUUGUUGGAUCAUUGAACAGAACUGUUUGGUCUCACUGUUUGAAUGUCCACUAUAUAAGCUUUAAUUUUGUAACUUGAACAAAUAUUUCUAAGAUGACAAUAUGUAAUCCAUUAACUAGUGAUUUCCUACUGUUUAUUUUUUUUUUCUGAAAUUCUGUAUAACUUGUACCUUUUUUCUGCUUUUUUUUUCUUUUUCUCCUUAAAUAAAAAUGUAAAAAAAUAAUAUUUUGUUCCCACUCUGUGCCUGACACAUGGUGUAUGCUUAAAAAAUUUUUUUAAAGUCUUACAGUAAAAGACAGGGUGCCAUGAACCCCCCUCAAGAUGCUAUUCCUUGCUUUGCACACACUUAUCCUAUCUUCUUGCUGCCUUCUGAAGCUAAGUUCUGAAAGUCCUCUUU